rnacentral:rRNA from 1 species
GAUGAACGCUGGCGGCGUGCCUAAUACAUGCAAGUCGAGCGAACAGAUGAGGAGCUUGCUCCUCUGACGUUAGCGGCGGACGGGUGAGUAACACGUGGAUAACCUACCUAUAAGACUGGGAUAACUUCGGGAAACCGGAGCUAAUACCGGAUAAUAUAUUGAACCGCAUGGUUCAAUAGCGAAAGACGGUUUUGCUGUCACUUAUAGAUGGAUCCGCGCCGCAUUAGCUAGUUGGUAAGGUAACGGCUUACCAAGGCGACGAUGCGUAGCCGACCUGAGAGGGUGGUCGGCCACACUGGAACUGAGACACGGGCCAGACUCCUACGGGAGGCAGCAGUAGGGAAUCUUCCGCAAUGGGCGAAAGCCUGACGGAGCAACGCCGCGUGAGUGAUGAAGGUCUUCGGAUCGUAAAACUCUGUUAUUAGGGAAGAACAAAUGUGUAAGUAACUAUGCACGUCUUGACGGUACCUAAUCAGAAAGCCACGGCUAACUACGUG